rnacentral:rRNA from 1 species
GACGAACGCUGGCGGCGUGCUUAACACAUGCAAGUCGAACGGUAAGGCUCCAGCUUGCUGGGGUACACGAGUGGCGAACGGGUGAGUACCACGUGGGUGACCUGCCCUGCACUUCGGGAUAAGCCUGGGAAACUGGGUCUAAUACCGGAUAGGACCGCACCGUGAGGGUGUGGUGGAAAGUUUUUUCGGUGUGGGAUGGGCCCGCGGCCUAUCAGCUUGUUGGUGGGGUAAUGGCCUACCAAGGCGGCGACGGGUAGCCGGCCUGAGAGGGUGGACGGCCACAUUGGGACUGAGACACGGCCCAGACUCCUACGGGAGGCAGCAGUGGGGAAUAUUGCACAAUGGGCGGAAGCCUGAUGCAGCGACGCCGCGUGGGGGAUGACGGCCUUCGGGUUGUAAACUCCUUUCACCAUCGACGAAGGGUUUCUGACGGUAGAUGGAGAAGAAGCACCGGCUAACUACAUGCCAGCAGCCGCGGUAAUACGUAGGGUGCGAGCGUUGUCCGGAAUUACUGGGCGUAAAGAGCUCGUAGGUGGUUUGUCGCGUCGUCUGUGAAAUUCCGGGGCUUAACUCCGGGCGUGCAGGCGAUACGGGCAUAACUUGAGUACUGUAGGGGAGACUGGAAUUCCUGGUGUAGCGGUGAAAUGCGCAGAUAUCAGGAGGAACACCGGUGGCGAAGGCGGGUCUCUGGGCAGUAACUGACGCUGAGGAGCGAAAGCAUGGGGAGCGAACAGGAUUAGAUACCCUGGUAGUCCAUGCCGUAAACGGUGGGCGCUAGGUGUGGGUUUCCUUCCACGGGAUCCGUGCCGUAGCUAACGCAUUAAGCGCCCCGCCUGGGGAGUACGGCCGCAAGGCUAAAACUCAAAGGAAUUGACGGGGGCCCGCACAAGCGGCGGAGCAUGUGGAUUAAUUCGAUGCAACGCGAAGAACCUUACCUGGGCUUGACAUAUACAGGAUCGCGCCAGAGAUGGUGUUUCCCUUGUGGCUUGUAUACAGGUGGUGCAUGGUUGUCGUCAGCUCGUGUCGUGAGAUGUUGGGUUAAGUCCCGCAACGAGCGCAACCCUUGUCUUAUGUUGCCAGCACGUUGUGGUGGGGACUCGUAAGAAACUGCCGGGGUUAACUCGGAGGAAGGUGGGGAUGACGUCAAAUCAUCAUGCCCCUUAUGUCCAGGGCUUCACACAUGCUACAAUGGUCGGUACAGUGGGUUGCCAGUCCGUGAGGGCGAGCUAAUCCCGCAAAGCCGGUCUCGGUUCGGAUCGGGGUCUGCAACUCGACCCCGUGAAGUCGGAGUCGCUAGUAAUCGCAGAUCAGCAACGCUGCGGUGAAUACGUUCCCGGGCCU